UACAGAGGUGGCAAGCGUUGUUCGGAAUUACUGGGCGUAAAGGGCGCGUAGGCGGCCCUACAAGUCACUUGUGAAAUCUCCGGGCUUAACUCGGAACGGCCAAGUGAAACUGUAGAGCUAGAGUGUGGAAGGGGCAAUCGGAAUUCUUGGUGUAGCGGUGAAAUGCGUAGAUAUCAAGAGGAACACCUGAGGUGAAGACGGGUUGCUGGGCCAACACUGACGCUGAGGCGCGAAAGCCAGGGGAGCAAACGGG
rnacentral:rRNA from 1 species